GUCUACGGUCAUACCACGUUGAAAAAACCAGUUCUCGUUAGAUCCCUGAAGUUAAACAACGUCGGGCCGAGUCAGUACCUGGGAGGUGACCACUUGGGAACACUCGGUGUCGUAGGCA
rnacentral:rRNA from 1 species